CAGUAGCCACGGGAAUACAGAGGGUGCGAGCGUUAAUCGGAUUUACUGGGCGUAAAGCGUGCGUAGGCGGCUUCUUAAGUCGGAUGUGAAAUCCCUGAGCUUAACUUAGGAAUUGCAUUCGAUACUGGGAAGCUAGAGUAUGGGAGAGGAUGGUAGAAUUCCAGGUGUAGCGGUGAAAUGCGUAGAGAUCUGGAGGAAUACCGAUGGCGAAGGCAGCCAUCUGGCCUAAUACUGACGCUGAGGUACGAAAGCAUGGGGAGCAAACAGGAUUAGAGACCCGAGUAGUCCCUGUCUCUUAUAC
rnacentral:rRNA from 1 species